rnacentral:rRNA from 1 species
UACAGAGGUGGCAAGCGUUGUUCGGAAUUACUGGGCGUAAAGCGCGUGUAGGCGGAGCGUUAAGUCUGGCCUGAAAGCCCCCGGCUCAACCGGGGAACGGGGCUGGAAACUGGCGUUCUUGAGGGGGACAGAGGAGUGUGGAAUUCCUGGUGUAGCGGUGAAAUGCGUAGAGAUCAGGAGGAACACCCGUGGCGAAGGCGGCACUCUGGGUCCCACCUGACGCUGAGACGCGAAAGCGUGGGGAGCGAACGGG